AUGAUAGAGGUGCGGCUCUUAUGAGUAGCCGGGCAUUGCCGAAAGGCGAAGGAACGGAAUCUGUGCCCGUAUGCGUGAUGCGAAAGGAAGCGCCGCCGAAAUCCAAACGAAGUUCCGUAUUCCUUUGGGUUGGUGCCCGGCAUAAUAUGCCCGGUACUGUCACUUUUUGUGGAGCGCUAUUCA
rnacentral:ncRNA from 1 species